UUACUCUGAUUCCAAGCGUUUUUUCGUUUUUGGGGUCCCAGUCUUUUCUGUGCAUAGAUCCUUGAUCACUUAUUGCAGAAUAUACAACUUCUUUUUUUACUACCACAACUUUGUCAUCAAUGGACCAUUGAAUGUCAAAGACAUAGCCGUGAUAUGCAGAUGGCAUAUUGUUCACUCUACAUUCGAAUGCCAACGGAGUAUUGAUUAAUGUUGGAAUAUACGGAUGCACAUAGAGUGUGACAGCAAAUGUAAUGUUUGUUG
rnacentral:lncRNA from 1 species